AUUUAUAAAAUUGUACUUUUUAUUCUUCCUAUCAGCCCAAAAGAACGUAAUGUAAAAAAUACUGCAAACCAAACAUUUUUAUAAUCAUAAUUUCAACAUAAUGAAUGACAAGAUCAACAACAGUUUAAUAGCUCCACAGCCGGUUGUCCACAGUAGAACAUAGACAUGUUUUAGCUCCACCAUCAUCAACCUGUCUUCCUGUCUCUUCCAAUUUUCUCUAGUUUCUUUUAGUUUUCUAUUUGUUACCUAGAUGCAAUCCUUCACAAGUUGCUAUUAUGAUGAAAAAUAUCAGAAUUAGCCACUUUGAUGAACA
rnacentral:lncRNA from 1 species